UACGAAGGGGGCUAGCGUUGUUCGGAUUUACUGGGCGGAAAGCGCACGUAGGCGGAUCGUUAAGUCGGGGGUGAAAUCCUGGAGCUCAACUCCAGAACUGCCUUCGAUACUGGCGAUCUUGAGUCCGGAAGAGGUGAGUGGAACUCCUAGUGUAGAGGUGGAAUUCGUAGAUAUUAGGAAGAACACCAGUGGCGAAGGCGGCUCACUGGUCCGGUACUGACGCUGAGGUGCGAAAGCGUGGGGAGCAAACAGG
rnacentral:rRNA from 1 species